rnacentral:rRNA from 1 species
AUGGCGCCGCAGCACAACGUCCUGCUGGAUCUGUACCACGAGGCCGUGGCGGGGGGCUUGGCGCGGCGACUGCUGCUCUUCAUGCGCCUCCUCCUCGCGCCGCAGCCAGCAGCAGGCCCGGGCGACCUCGCCCCUCUUCAGCGCGCCGCCGAGCCCGAGCAGCAGGAGUCGGAGGCCGGGACAACCCUCCUCGCGGUCCUCUUCACAGCGGGGAUCCGCCGUCUCCCGCGAGCGCCUCCGCUCGCCGUCGACCUGGACGACACGCGCGCCGUGGAGGUGCUCGUCCGCGUCUUCAUCGAGAGAGUUCGUGCGGGGGUCCACGCGGGCGCGGGCGGGGUGGCGGUGGCGGACGCGCCUACGAUCCACGAGGCCGCGAUCAACAUCGACACGCUGAUCUUCAACAGCCUACUUCACCGGGCCCGCCGCGUCGCGCCGCCGCUCAGGGACAACUCGUUCGCCCUGCGCGUGCUGCUCCGGCUCCCUGCGCGCACCUUCGUCCGCUUGCUUCCGCCACCGGCCGAAGCCCCCGCCCUCGCCCCCGCCCCCGCGUCAGUCCUCGGUGUCGUCUUCUACGCGGCUCUCCGCCGCGUCGAUGCGGUCCUCCCGCUGGGCUCCGACGGCUUCCUCCGCGACUUCACCAACCUGAUCGGCCCCUUCAGCAGGCGUCUCUUUCCACCGCCCAGCCAGGACGACCACACGGUCUUCCUGCUCCCACCCCCGGCCCCGGCCCCGCUCGCCAUCGACCCCUGCCCCGCGCCGAUUGCCGGCGAGUUCUGGCGUGCGGCUGCUGCAGUGCGCGCAGCCAGGACCGACACCUCCCAGGAGCACAUCGUUCUGGAGCCUGACGCCAUCGACGAUGAGCUUGCGGCCAAGGUCGACGACACGUCUGUUGCUGCGGAGGGGAGCGGGAAGGUUAUCAUUCUUACCAGUGUUGAUGAUGCCCGGGAGAUGAUUCAGCGCCAGGAUCCGACCACGACGACUCCCAUGGUGACUGUUGACGUCCCGUCAGACCUCUCGUGCGACGAGGCAGACGCCAUCUUCUGCUACCUGAAGGUAUCCGGGGCUCUUACUGCUGUCUUACUUGGUCCCACAUUAUCACACAUGCUCGACUAG